rnacentral:piRNA from 1 species
GACUUAGAAAAAGAAAUGCUUAGAGUGGA